CCCAAAUAAUUAAAUCCAAAACUCUUUACUCCCUUCUCUUUCAAUCUCACGUAAAAAGCAAAACAAAAACAACAAAACUCCCUUCCCUCUUAUUCCUUCACGUGAACCAUUCCAAACCCUUCUCUUCAAUUUCACGUGGAACUGCUGCUCCUCAAGCAACCGCCGCACCACCGCAGCGCCGCCAUCCUCAGUCGCGCCGCCCUACCACCGCGAGCCUCACCUUCCUUCUCUUCUCCGUCCGCGAGACCACCAUGCUCGCCACCAGCACAGCCGCCGCGAGUUCUUCUCCAUCGCCUGACCGGCGGUCUGCUCGCAACCGCACGCCCAGCCACGUCGCAUCAACCACCAGAACCACCGCUCGCUGCCGCGCCUCCCAUGCCGCCGGCCAGCAUCUCCUUAAACCUUUAUUUGG